UACGGGGGGGGCAAGCGUUGUUCGGAAUUACUGGGCGUAAAGGGCUCGUAGGCGGCCAACUAAGUCGGAUGUGAAAUCCCCAGGCUUAACCUGGGAACUGCAUCCGAUACUGGAUGGCUUGAAUUCGGGAGAGGGAUGCAGAAUUCCAGGUGUAGCGGUGAAAUGCGUAGAUAUCUGGAGGAAUACCGGUGGCGAAGGCGGCAUCCUGGACCGAGAUUGACGCUGAUGAGCGAAAGCGUGGGGAGCGAACAGG
rnacentral:rRNA from 1 species